UUGAGAACCGGGGCGGCUCCGGCCGUCCCAACCCACACCUCGUGAACUUGUAACUGGGGAGGGCCUCUACUACUCGGGCAACCGGGGAACGGGCCCGACCCGCCCGUCGGCCUCGGCCGGCGGCAAUCUUUGCACCUGUCGUCAUGAAUGGCCUGAAAGCAAACUAAAGAGUA
rnacentral:misc_RNA from 1 species